UUUCGAUAGCCGAAGUUGGCUAGAAAUUAUAUUUUGGAUAUUUAGCAUAUAGUUAGAAUGUUAAUAAUUUAGGCUAUUAUCGAAUCUUUGUAGACUCGCCGAGGCGACUACUAACGGAACACGGAACGUGACGAACGAUAUUGCUUUGUUUGUUCUGGAAGAUUUUGGAUAGCAAGUGCGUUUCAUUUCAGGGUCAUAGUAAAGGAUGUGACGAACUUCUAUAUCCUUGUUCCAGAAGUUCGGAGUUUGUACAGAAUCAGUAGUGCUGCAGUAGUUGAGUUCUAGUAAGCUGUAACGGUGUGUCAAACGGUUUUGAUUGUAAAACAUAUACUCUGAUAUUUGUAAAAGGUUUUGAAACUGCGCUUUUAAACCGUUUGUUAAAGGUGGAACGGGCUGUGCUGGAUGUAAGACAUCGCAAUAUAAGACCCAGGUUCCUAUGUAAUGUUUUCAGGUUUUGAACUAGACGUUUGUAUACGUCAAGAAUGGAAAGGCUUUUAUGAAAAUGAUUUUUGUAUAUGAUUAUGAUUUUUGUUU